ACAGCUCUCAAACUGCAGCCUAAUUUUGCUGUCAGUUCUCUGUUUUUGAUUUGGAUCUGAUAUGGUUAGUCCUAUCUAGUUUUUCUGUAUCUGCUACGGCUAGUCAUAACUACUUCCAUCUUUUAACGGCAGUCCUAGUUUUGUUGCUACCGUCUGACAUCUUCUUUUUCUUUCUCGUUUUAUCACAUGUAUGUAUCCCACGGGGCAUCACAUAAAUUACCAUUCAAGGUAGGUUCCAGUCUGCAGAUCACGAGGGACGGUAUGGCUGGAAUACGCUUGGUAACAGGGAGCAUUACCACUGCUGCGUACAAGACCUCUAAGGAAGACCAUCUCGUCAAUAAGCUCGAGAACAAGGGCCAUUAGUUUUUGCAAGUGGAGAUGCAACCAUUGGAAACCAGACCGAUGAUGCUACUUCGGCAAAUGAGACUGAGAACAGGCUCGCUGGAUGUUGGCGCCAAAGAAGCCAAAAGAGAUGGGUCGCCCAACAACUAGCCAAGAGAAGGCGCCGUACGAGGGGCUCAGCAAACGGACAAGCUUCUGCACGAUAUGUUGCCAGCAGGGGCACAAGAGGAUAACCUGAUAUCCCCAAGCCAGUUUGUAAACCAGUGCGGCACAAAAACUGCGGCGUUGAAGGUCACAAACGAAACAACUGCCGCAAAGUAGGUGAUCUGCGGCUAAAUAACAUGUGAUGUGCAACGAUAGUGAUUUGUGUUGCUAAUGUAUGUGUUUGUAUGUUGUUUUCAGGCGUAUCGUCUGUCUUUGUAUACAGAGUGGUGUACAUAUGGUUGUUGAUCUGUCUUGGUGCUUCUGUGAAGUGCAUUUCCCAUUGCCAACAUGGUUUCUGUUGGCUGAAUUUUUUACUGAGACAAUCUGGUUAUCUUUGGCUGCUGGAUGGGCAAUUGUGCUAAAUGCUGGACAAGUGCAUGCCUGUGUGAGGCCGCGCGCCCAGUGCUCGGCCGAUCCAUUUCUAAUUGCACUACAAGAGCAGGGAAAACAGAGGAGCAAUUACAUAAGCGUUCCUCCACCAUGCGUGCCCCAUCUGACCGAUCCAUUCCUUUUCAUUUAGGUAGAAAAGACUGAAUACUACAGGGCAGUUCUUGCCAUGGCUCUGACCGUGCUAUCCCUAUGGGCGUCUGGCAUUACAAAAUCAGAUGCAACUCGCAAGCUGGAUGAAGUAUCCGCAGAGGGUUCAGUUGAGCUGAAAGUUCAGUAAACCAGCCUGUAGGACUACAAGUUGUUGCGCUGACUUCAUCUUCUGGAGUGUCUGCUGUCUUUGAGCAGGAGACAUGCCAUGCAACCGCAGAUCUGGAGACAUAAGAGAUGGGCCCGCAGGACGAAGUGCAGAUGCAGGCGCUCCGCGCGGUGGAUGAACGGUGCAGAGAACACGAUCCGGAAAAGCAUGAUUAGCUGCUGUGUGAGCUUGCCGAGCCCCGAGCUUGAAGACGGCGAGCAGUCUACGGCUGGGGCGUGCGGCGACUGGAGAUAGCUGCCGUCGUUGGUCCAGAAUCAGCGAGUUAGCGGCCCAGUCCGUGACGCUGUACCAAUGGCCGUUUGCUAGAAGUGGGCCAAUAAAACUGUUCAUUAAUAGAUAUACGGCAGUAAUACGUGGGCCUGUAUGCGUCAGAAUGGGAAUCUCGAAGAUCACGAGCGGGAGGGAUAUCGCGAGCACCUACGAUCCCGCUUAGAAGAGCACUUUCGCAAGGUUCUAUUCUAUCAACAAGCUUUCAUGUGUCAUCAGCAGCUCUAUUACAAGUCUCUAGGGUCGGCUUACCCCAGUUUAGGUUACUACUCAUUGAUAUCUGAUAUGGAAGGUUGAAAAUUAGUCUUGAAAGUAUCAAUGGUUCUUUGAUCACCU